rnacentral:pre_miRNA from 1 species
CACACAUCUCGCUUCUUGACUGCCUGCCUGAAAAUUUGUCUCAAACCUUUCAUAGUGUAGGUGAGCAAAGUUUCAGGUGUGUUGUCUUGGAGGACACACUG